UACGUAGGGUGCAAGCGUUAAUCGGAAUUACUGGGCGUAAAGCGUGCGCAGGCGGUUUGGCAAGAAAGGUGUGAAAUCCCAGAGCUUAACUUUGGAACUGCACUUUUAACUGCCAAGCUAGAGUAUGUCAGAGGGGGGUAGAAUUCCACGUGUAGCAGUGAAAUGCGUAGAGAUGUGGAGGAAUACCGAUGGCGAAGGCAGCCCCCUGGGAUAAUACUGACGCUCAUGCACGAAAGCGUGGGGAGCAAACAGG
rnacentral:rRNA from 1 species